AGCUCCAAUAGCGUAUAUUAAAGUUGUUGCAGUUAAAAAGCUCGUAGUUGGAUUUCUGGGAGGGUGACAAUGUCCGUCGUCUGAUGAGUGCAGCGGCGCCCUUCCAUCCUUCUGUUAACGCCUCUCCGCAUUCGUUUGCUGGUGGCGGGCUCAGAUAUUUUACCUUGAGAAAAUUAGAGUGUUUCAAGCAGGCUAUGCACGGAAUACAUUAGCAUGGAAUAA
rnacentral:rRNA from 1 species